rnacentral:tRNA from 1 species
GGGUCCGUGGUCUAGUGGUUAAAUUUUUCAAGGAGAAAGAUUCCAUAAAUGACGUCGCCCUUACAAGGCGGAGAUCGGGUGUUCGACUCACCCCGGACCCA